rnacentral:rRNA from 1 species
GAAAACGAUGGCUAAUACCGCAUAAUGCCUACGGGCCGGAGAGGGGGACCUUCGGGCCUCUCGCGUCAGGAUAUGCCUAGGUGGGAUUAGCUAGUUGGUGAGGUAAUGGCUCACCAAGGCGACGAUCCCUAGCUGGUCUGAGAGGAUGAUCAGCCACACUGGAACUGAGACACGGUCCAGACUCCUACGGGAGGCAGCAGUGGGGAAUAUUGCACAAUGGGCGCAAGCCUGAUGCAGCCAUGCCGCGUGUGUGAAGAAGGCCUUCGGGUUGUAAAGCACUUUCAGUCGUGAGGAAGGUGGUGUUGUUAAUAGCUGUAUUAUUUGACGUUAGCGACAGAAGAAGCACCGGCUAACUCCGUGCCAGCAGCCGCGGUAAUACGGAGGGUGCGAGCGUUAAUCGGAAUUACUGGGCGUAAAGCGCAUGCAGGUGGUUUGUUAAGUCAGAUGUGAAAGCCCGGGGCUCAACCUCGGAAUAGCAUUUGAAACUGGCAGACUAGAGUACUGUAGAGGGGGGGUAGAAUUUCAGGUGUAGCGGUGAAAUGCGUAGAGAUCUGAAGGAAUACCGGUGGCGAAGGCGGGCCCCCUGGACAGAUACUGACACUCAGAUGCGAAAGCGUGGGGAGGCAAACAUGAUUAUAUACCCUGGGUAGUCCACGCCGUAACGAUGUCUACUUGAGGUUGUGGCCUUGAGCCGUGGCUUUUCGGAGCUAACGCGUUAAUAACCGCCUGGGGGAGUACUGUCGCAGAUUAAAACUCAAAUGAAUUGACGGGGGCCCGCACAGGCGUGGGAGCAUGGUGGUUUAGUUCGAUGCGA